GGCUCCGUAGCUCAGCUGGAUAGAGCACCAGAUUCCUAAUCUGGGGGUCGCGCGUUCGAAUCGCGCCGGAGUCACCA
rnacentral:tRNA from 1 species